rnacentral:rRNA from 1 species
UUGACCUGAGUUCAGACAAGGCU